rnacentral:rRNA from 1 species
UUUCAUAUCUUGAGGUACCGCCUGCCCAGUGAGGGCACCACCCUUAAACGGCCGCAUAUAUAAACGCGCAAAGGUAGCAAAAUCAUUUGUCCUCCAAAUAAGGACCAGUAUGAAAGGCAACAUGAGAAAGAAACUGUCUCUUUAGGAAACCUAAUGAACCUGACCCGCCUGUAAAAAUGCAGGCAUGAAAAAACAAGACAAAAAGACCCUGUGAAACUUAAAAUGUACAUCAAAAAAUGAUCAAUACAUUUUUGGUUGGGGCAACCAAAGAGAAAUGUAAACCUCAACAUCUCUGCAAGACAAACAAGUCAACCAGAAGACACCAGACCCAGCACAGCUGAUCAAAGAACCAAGCUACUCCAGGGAUAACAGCGCCACAUUCUUGAAGAGUCCAUAUCAACAAGAAUACCUACGACCUCGAUGUUGGAUUAGGGUACCCCGAUGGCGCAAAAGCUAUCAAAGGUUCGUUUGUUCAACGAUUAAAACCCCACGUGAUCUGGUCGCAGACCAGAUAGAUCGCGUGUUUAACAAAAACAUAUGUGAUCUGAGUUCACACCGGAGAUCUCCUGUGUAACAAAAAUAUAUGUGAUCUGAGAGCAGAGCGGGGACCGCUUAAUAAAAAAGGAGGAGGGGUGAUGUCGAGACCGGGGGGGCGGCAGGGUUAACGUGAUCAGCGAUGGGAGGUUGUGCCGGUAGGAUGAGACGUGCUUGUAAGAUGACAAAGAGCUAAAAACGUCUAGUCUCGGGGUGACAGCGAAAAUAGAUUUUCCAUAUUACGAACCGAAGAAGUAGUUGUUAGGGGUUACCAAGGUUCAUAGUUGAU